UAACGACUCUCGGCAACGGAUAUCUCGGCUCUCGCAUCGAUGAAGAAACGUAGCGAAAUGCGAUACUUGGUGUGAAUUGCAGAAUCCCGUGAACCAUUGAUUUUUUGAACGCAAAUUGGGCCCGAAACCGUUAGGCCGAGGGCACGUUUGCCUGGGCGUAUUGCA
rnacentral:rRNA from 1 species